ACGCGCACUAUAAAAAAUGCCCAAGGAUGGUAUUAGGCUAAAGGGGAAAGAGAUCAGCUUGAAACUUGGAUUUACAGAAAAGAACAUCAGAGAAGGUCGGCCUUCAUAUCUCUCCGGUAAUCCACUGAACAGGAAGCCAUACAAAUGAAAAUAGAGGGAAAAAGACGCUGGACACACUACUUCUACCUCUACCUCUUGGACCCAAUGAAGAUUGGUACAGCAGAAAAAGCAUUAGUCUAAGAAACAAGGAGCCAAGAAACCAGGAAUACAACCUUUCAUUCUGGAUGGCAUUGUACCUCUUACCGUUCCUCCUCUCUGAAAUGUGGACACAGUAGCUAUUGCUCCAGAAGUCAGCUUGGAUCACAAGGUGAUCUUUGAAAAUGGAAGCGACACACUGAGGAUAUGAGAGCAGAGAGAAGAAAUCUGGGUCCUUGAUUUUUUUGUGAAGCAAUUGUGAAGCUGCCAUCUGAGCCCUGAACUGCCUACCUUCCAGACUUCUUCUGUGUGAAACUACUACAAAAAGAUAUCUAUCAGCAGAUGAAUUCAAUUAUUAACAAACAUGAAAUUUGGGACAUGAAGUGGGGUGAUACAAAUAAUAGAACCUAAAAUAAGAUACUCUUAAAGCAGGAGUUGAUGAGGCAAACAAUAACUCUGAUAAUGCAGGCUGGAAAGCUAGUGACCUUAUUAAAGAAUGAAAAGGAUUUGGUCAAAUUUGGUCAUCUACAGAAGUUAGAAAGCAAACCAUAUACCAAAUGAAGCUAGAGCAAGGAGAGAAAUACAGGAAAAUUUUAGAAUGCUGGCAUGUGCUGGCUCCCUCCGGUCACUUAGAACAAAGUUGUAAGAGAAAUAAAAUAAACUUCGAUUAGAGUUGCAAGCAGAGGUGGAGAAAAUGCAGAUUUGCUAAGGGAGGUAACUCCCUAUGGCCUGCAAUUUAAACUAACACUCCCAUAAUUUAAAGCUUUGCAUAGCUGAAAAAACACCAACUGUUUCUGAAGAAGCAAAGUGAAGUAAUUGAAUGGUAGCUGCAAAACUGCAGCCUUGGCAAUAGAGAAGACUGGUGCCUUGCCACACAAAAGCAAUGAUGUAAGGGUGUUGUCUUUCCACCCACGAUUUCCACCACUGUUUCAAAUGGCCUCAUCAGAACCAUCAUUUCUUCAGAACCCAGAAGAGGUCAAUGAACUUGAACGGGGGAAAAAUACUCUUCAUUUCCACUAACUUGUGACUGAAAUUUAGCAUCCCCUUGAAUUAUGAAGUCAGACAACAAAUCAUAGUAGCAUUAACAGUACUUGUGACUUCUGCCACCAAUAAAAAUAACAAAUAUAUUCCUAUCACAUGCAAAUGUUGCAGAAUCUCAACUAUUAAAGUCAACUACUUUAAAAUUACGCUACUGUAUUAGACUUGCCACUAGAUCUUUUAUUUCAAGUGUUAAAAGCACAGAUAUUAUGACGUUUUCAAGUUAAUAUUUUGCCAACCAUAUUUCAACAGAAUCAGUUUCCUGUGUAAUCCUAAGUAUUUUAUUUUGUGAAUUUUGAGACAUUAUUCUGAAACAGAUCCACAGGUUUCACCAGACUGUUAAAGGGGUUCCAUAGCACCAAAACAAGAUUGGAAAUUCCUGGGGUAAAUGGAGCACAAAGGCCACAGUCUUCACACUGAAAAACUGUCUUGGCAGAUACUUUAGAUCAAAACGGCAAAAAGCCUACGAAGUAUUUUAAAAUAACUGUAUGGAGGGUAGGGGGAGAGAAAGAGACUAGACACAAAAGCUCUUAUGUUUCCAAAAUAAUACCCAAGCCCAUCAAUAAGAAGUGAGCUAUAAAAGCUGCACAUUUCCCAGAAAGGGCAUCUUCAAUAAUAUCCAUCUCAGAUGUGGCCAUGGAAGAUAAUGGACAAGUAAAAACUCCCAUCUUUUCAAAACAGUGAUCUCUGCUCCAUUUAGGAGAAAAAUGGACAGCAUCAAACUAAUCUCCACUAAGGAAUUCAGAAUUAGGACUGAAGUGGUCUGGGCUGGUAUCUUGAAUGAAGAAGCUAUGAACUUGAGAGGUAUGGGAUGACCAUGUGCCCGAAAGACAAAGAAAGCUUAUUUGCAUAAAUGAAGAAAUAAAUUACAGAGAAAAGCAACAGAGAGUAUACUGCCUAGUUUCCUAAGAACCUAAGUUCUAUUUCCUCAAGAGAUCCAGCUAUCCCUGGGUUCUG